rnacentral:rRNA from 1 species
GAUGAGCGCUGGCGGCGUGCCUAAUACAUGCAAGUCGAGCGAACAGACGGGGAGCUUGCUCCUUCGACGUUAGCGGCGGACGGGUGAGUAACACGUAGGUAACCUACCUAUAAGACUGGGAUAACUUCGGGAAACCGGAGCUAAUACCGGAUAAUAUUUCGAACCGCAUGGUUCGAUAGUGAAAGAUGGCUUUGCUAUCACUUAUAGAUGGACCUGCGCCGUAUUAGCUAGUUGGUAAGGUAACGGCUUACCAAGGCAACGAUACGUAGCCGACCUGAGAGGGUGAUCGGCCACACUGGAACUGAGACACGGUGCAGACUCCUACGGGAGGCAGCAGUAGGGAAUCUUCCGCAAUGGGCGAAAGCCUGACGGAGCAACGCCGCGUGAGUGAUGAAGGUCUUCGGAUCGUAAAACUCUGUUAUUAGGGAAGAACAAACGUGUAAGUAACUGUGCACGUCUUGACGGUACCUAAUCAGAAAGCCACGGCUAACUACGUG